UACGAAGGGGGCUAGCGUUGUUCGGAAUUACUGGGCGUAAAGCGCACGUAGGCGGAUUGCUAAGUCAGGGGUGAAAUCCCGGGGCUCAACCCCGGAACUGCCUUUGAUACUGGCUGUCUCGAGUCCGGAAGAGGUGAGUGGAAUUCCGAGUGUAGAGGUGAAAUUCGUAGAUAUUCGGAGGAACACCAGUGGCGAAGGCGGCUCACUGGUCCGGUACUGACGCUGAGGUGCGAAAGCGUGGGGAGCAAACAGG
rnacentral:rRNA from 1 species